AAAGCAUUAACACUUUUUUGAAAACAUCAUGAAUAACUUUCAAUAUAUACAUACAUUUACAAAAUGUGAGAACAAAUGUUAACUUAAUUAUUUAUAAAGCAUGAACAUAUUCGGAACACAAAACCUUUUAAAUGUGCUUUUUUAGAAAAUACACUAAUAUUUUUAUACAACCGGUAGGUUGAUCAUGGUGAUUGUGUACAAAAUCUUUGUACACACAUUGCAAGGCAUGCUCAAUUAUCUGGUAAUGUAAAAAAUAUAUUAUCACAGGUUAAUGUUUCACUUGAACUAUUAUAGCAGGUGUAUGUAAUAGUAGGUUGAUUAUGCAGAUAUAUUACUACAUAAAAAUUGUUGGAACAUGCUCUAUCUGUGGUUAGCAUUGAAGUAAGCGUUUCUAGAUUAAAAAAGAAAAUAAAAUCAGAAUGGGUAUAUAGCAUCUGUAGCACUCUCUAAAAAAGAUGUUGCUUUAGGUCUAGAAUACAUGUAACUGAUAUUGGAUACACUUUACGAAUUGGGCUGUGUACGCUAUGUUAUGUUAGUUUCGGAUGUAAAGUUGUCUCGGUUCUAUAUCAUUUGUGCAACGUUUCAAGUCAAUAAAGAUCAUUAUAUCAAAAUAAAAUUAGAGGUAGAUUCAAAAGUUGUCCCCUUGCGCGUAUUCUCCUUGUCCUUGUCUUGAUUAAAACAAACAAAUAAAUAAAUAAAGUGUGCAUCCAAACAUUACAUAAAGGAAGGAGUAUAUGUUAGGUCAGAUCAAGAUUUAUGAGCAAAAUUUAUAUUUAUGAAUAUUUGUUAGUACAUGUACCAUUUUGAAAAUACAUAAGAAAAAUUAAAUUCAUGGCCAUUUAAAAAAAAUCUGUUAGAACCGCUAGUUGGGUUUCUUCUAAACGAGGAGCUAACCCCACUUAUCAUUGAGCCAACAACAAAAGUUUUUUCAACUCUAGGCCCUACUGUGCGAGAUGGUUAUUAUUCAAGCGAACGGGACACGUGGAGCUAAAUAGGCUGCCGGACACAGGGGCAAUUCUACGAAUAUAAUCCCUAUGUUCACAAAUAUAAGAUGUUCUAACUUUUUUUCUUAAUGGAUGUAUAUAGAUGUUUUAAUGUGUUUGUUUGCUCAUUUUAGUCCAUGCGAACCUGUUUGGGACUGCUCCACUCCAUCAAAGUCAGCUUCACUUAAUCAAAUUCACUUUCAAACAGUUCCACACAAGAGUUGUAGAUCCACCAAAGAGCAUUAUAUCAUGUUUAGCUUCCAGCUAGCUCCUGUUUUAAGAAUAUAUUUUUCAAUGAAAAUGAUAUAUUUGAUUGGAUGACAUGAGAAAAAAAUGAAAAUAUAUCCAUUUACUGAUGAUAGUGAUGUGUAAUUUUCUCCGACUCCAG
rnacentral:lncRNA from 1 species